CACGUAGGGCGCGAGCGUUGUCCGGAAUUAUUGGGCGUAAAGAGCUCGUAGGCGGCCUGUUGCGUCCGCUGUGAAAGCCCGGGGCUUAACCCCGGGUCGGCAGUGGAUACGGGCAGGCUAGAGGUAGGUAGGGGAGAAUGGAAUUCCCGGUGUAGCGGUGAAAUGCGCAGAUAUCGGGAGGAACACCGGUGGCGAAGGCGGUUCUCUGGGCCUUACCUGACGCUGGGGAGCGAAAGCGUGGGGAGCGAACAGG
rnacentral:rRNA from 1 species